UUCGAGUGGCGGACGGGUGAGUAACGCGUGGGUAACCUGCCUUACACAGGGGGAUAACACCUGGAAACAGGUGCUAAUACCGCAUAAGCGCACAGGGCCGCAUGGCCCGGUGUGAAAAACUCCGGUGGUGUAAGAUGGACCCGCGUCUGAUUAGCUUGUUGGCGGGGUAGGGGCCCACCAAGGCGACGAUCAGUAGCCGGCCUGAGAGGGUGGACGGCCACCAUUGGGACUGAGACACGGCCCAAACUCCUACGGAAGGCAGCAG
rnacentral:rRNA from 1 species